ensembl:lncRNA novel transcript
AGAACAUGUCCUCCUCUUCUAAAUUACAUGCCGUGGAGACACAAAGGAUUGCCAGGUACCAGCUUGACCACAAUAGGUCGGAACACCAAGUAGGCUCUUGGGGUCCUGAAUUCAAGGCCUUGGCUCUUGGGUGGCAUUUCUGAGCAUUUCUGAACCUGCCCUGGGACAGAGAGGAGUCCACUGCACUGAAGGAUAUGCUCUUUAGGAUCAAAAGGAAGACCCUGAAGAAAAGCUGAGGAUAGUGGCUAAACCCAAAACAAGAGAUUAAAGGAGAAUAGAGGCAGAAAAGUCACCCAUACCCACUCCUUGGGGAGAAGAGAUGAAACCCUCCUUGAUGAGAAGAGAAGCUAUGACCUUAGAAGUAUUAUAGGCCAUAAAAUCAAAGAACUGGCCAUUAGAGGUUCCCAGAGAGAGGACUGGAGUCCGCUUUAGGAACUGUUGAGCAUCUUCUCCACCCAACCAGGACAAGAAAGUCUAGUGGAAGCCCACCAAGAUUUGCAGUUCAUCUCUUACCCAUCCAAUGUUGAAGAAUCUCAGAGCCCCGUUACUCUUUCUUGUAGUUUGCCAACUGAAGCCACUCCUGUACACUUAAAUUACCCAACAAAAGGAGAACUUGCUUUUCCUCCAAUAUUCUGCUUAUCUCCAUUCAAGUACCUCACCUGAACUACCCACAUCUUUUUAGUGACUAUGCUUACUCUGGUUCAGGAUGAAAGAUGGGAGAAUGAGAUGAACUGUCCCUUUAGUAGUCUAAAUGAGGAUGAAGGGAAGACCAGCACUGUCCCUUGGCUAGAACAGUGGCAAAACCCAUUCAUAUUUCAAAUGUGUCUGUAAGAUUUUCUCAUUCAUUACUCAGGCCUGACCUCAAAAACUAUGUCUAUAGUAAAGUAAAAAAUUGCCCAUGCACUGCUCUUUCCUAGUCUUGUGAGACAAAAUUAUAUGUGCUUAUGUGAAAGAUAUUAGAUAAAGACAGAGGUAGAAAGAUAAAGAAAAUAUGUAUAUUUUAAAAUAAAUGUUCAUAAUUAUGGUAUAUUUAAGCAAAUUGCUAAUUAAUACACAGUAGAUGUGACCUCAGUUAAAUCUCUUAACUAAAAUGAGACUGCUUCCUUAUUUUAUAAUUGUUGAGGUUGUGAGGUUUGCGGGACAAGACGUAAUAAGCUGCAAGAUCCUUUACUGUUUAAAAUUCUCCAUCUAUGAUUCAGAAGGACAGCUUUUAUGGAAUCUUAUGAAAUUUUAAAUAAGAUUUUCAUCAUUUCAAUGUGAGAAACCAAAAUUUACAUAACUGCUUUUUUUUAAAAAAAUCUUACAAAGUAUAAAACUUGAGUAGCAGUUUGAAAAUACAUAAAACAAUAAAAGCCCUUUUGUCUUUUAAUAACUUUAUAUAAAAACAUUGCUUGUAGGAACAACACAUUGCAAUAUUGGUGAUUAUAGCUGCUUUAACUGAAGGGUAUGAAGCAUGUCCUGUGCAAUAGUUCUUGUUUUAGUAAAAAAAAAAUUAAAGUGGAAUAUGUAGUCUGCCCAUAUGUCCUGAGCUGUUCAUUUCCUGUUACUUUGCUGGAGGCAGAAGCCAAAGACUCAGUUUUCCUGCCUUUGUCAUACAUCUGCUGGUUAUUGCUAUUUAAGCUGACUUGGUUCUUGAUGACCACAAGGUGACUUACGAUAGCUGUUUUUCCAAAACGCAAUAGCAGUACCAUGUGUUUUUAAAUGCAUUCAAUGUUGUUUGGAGACUUUUCAAAUAACUUGGGAGCAAUCAAAUGUAGACUGCACACAUGUUGCUGUAAGUUAAUGUAAAUUUCUUUUUGAGAAAAAGGACAUAGUUGGCCACAAUCUAUAAAUUUCUUUGAUUUAAUAUUUUUAUUAAAGUU